AUUAAUUUGUCAUACGAAUUUUAUUUUUCAAACAUCAUUUUUAGAUCUUUACUUACAAAGUAGAUGAGCAUACUUUUUUUUUUUUUUGUCAACCGAUAUAAAUUAGAACUCAAAAGAGUCAAUCUCGAGGGAUAUUGUUUACAUACGUGACAUGAUGCGGUACGGUACGAAUCUUUCGUGCCAACUUAUCCGCUUUUACAUUUGCACUACGAGAAAUUAAAGAUAAAGAGAAAUUUGUGAAUUCUUCCCUAUCACUUUGCAACUCCUCCAAAUACACUGAAAACGCCGGCCAUUCGGUUGGAGAAGACACCAUCUUCACCAAGUCUGAACAGUUUGUAAAGAAAGCUAAGUAGAUGAGCAUACUUUGGGUUCGGAAAUUGCAAAUCUUUGAU
rnacentral:sRNA from 1 species